rnacentral:rRNA from 1 species
UGGGGAAUAUUGCACAAUGGGCGCAAGCCUGAUGCAGCCAUGCCGCGUGUGUGAAGAAGGCCUUCGGGUUGUAAAGCACUUUCAGCGGGGAGGAAGGCGAUAAGGUUAAUAACCUCAUCGAUUGACGUUACCCGCAGAAGAAGCACCGGCUAACUCCGUGCCAGCAGCCGCGGUAAUACGGAGGGUGCAAGCGUUAAUCGGAAUUACUGGGCGUAAAGCGCACGCAGGCGGUCUGUCAAGUCGGAUGUGAAAUCCCCGGGCUCAACCUGGGAACUGCAUUCGAAACUGGCAGGCUAGAGUCUUGUAGAGGGGGGUAGAAUUCCAGGUGUAGCGGUGAUAUGCGUAGAGAUCUGGAGGAAUACCGGUGGCGAAGGCGGCCCCCUGGACAAAGACUGACGCUCAGGUGCGAAAGCGUGGGGAGCAAACAGG